CCCAGCUGAUCAUUCUCCCUCAGUUCUGUGUGUAUCUUUGCUGCAAAAUGGAAUGAAAAAUGGAUUGCAAUGUUACCUUUGUAUGUUGGCAUGUAUAUUAUCUGGCAAAUGGAAUGAAAGAUGGUUUGGUAUAUUCUAUCUGCAUAUGUACAUGUAUAUUAAUUGGAUUACAGAAUGAAUUGGUAUGUUCGAUUAUGGUCAGUAGUGUCAUUCCUUGAUAAUUACAGAAGCUGGACAAUGGACAGCACCUUGCACUGCUCAUAGGUAUGGCCUGUCAUGGUCGCAGAAAUUGGCUUGACUAGUAAAUGUUGUGCUUGCAAUCAUUUGUUGUUGGAUUUGUGACAAACUUUACAGUGCUGUAACCAGUAGAUGUUUAUAUUCAAUAUCAAUCCAUUACUCAUCAUAACCUUAAAUUUUUUGGAUAGCAACAUGGCUGAUGGUGCAGACAGGGGUGAAGAGAACCUUAAGAUAUUUUGUCAGUUAGUUUCUGAGCAAGUUAAGGCAAAGAAUCGAUUGGGGACCCACUUAAACAAACAAGGCUACUGCAAUGUAUAUAUUACCCCUAAAUUAGGUGAUGCAGCCGCCGCCAAUGCAAAUUAGGCUGGCUCCCCUUGAUAUCUUGUUUCGAUGGAAACGAAAUUAGGCUAGGAGCUGGUUCUGUUGGAUCUUUAGUUCAUCUGAUUGCUUAUCUGCAGGCUUGUAUCUCUUAAAAUAUCAGGCAUUUUAGUGUGGGAAGUGAAGCUUUGAUGGUUUCUUUAACCAUAUAUAGUGCUUUUCCCUAUUGGUGCUUCAUUAGGUUGUUAGGGCUGGAUUGUAUAUAUAUUAUUUCUUAUGAAUCCAGGUCAGCUGCCAAUUGUAGCUUAGCACCCCUCAGUUUCUCUAUACCAUGUAAAUCAACCAAUUAGUUUGGUGCUUGCUUUCUAGGACUUAUUUGUUGUUGCCGGUUUGCUUAUCUAUUGGUUAAAAUUUACUGAAAAAUCAGGGUGUUUUUUUUUCGUGUUGGUACUCAAACAUUUGAUGUUUCUUUCAAAUACUUUUGGGGUGUUUGGCAUGUGGUUAAUUUCCAUGAAGGGUCAAGAUUGCACGUGUAGUUCGUUGUGAAUCCGUUUCUGCUUGUUUUGGCUCCGUCGUGUUGCUAUUCUCAUUGCUUGUUCCUUGGUCCAUAGUUUGGAAAUAUUGUCCUUUUAAUUCCAUAUCAAAUAUGAAAUAUGAAAUUUUUUGUGCUCUAUAUUGGUUGGGAACUAAUAUAUAUAUUUCACUACGAUGAUAUUUUGCACUCUACGUGUUCCUUCAACAGAAUACAAACUGGUUGUUAUUAUUUGAAAAGUGAAAAACUAACAACCAUCAAGUUGACGGUGCAUUUCUUUUGCUUUGCUUUAUGAAAGUAGUAUGGCAUAAAUAAAAAUUGAAUCGCUGACCCUGCAACGUUUGCUUUUCUGGUUGUUAUGACCCACAUUUUGCCUUUAAUUCUGCUUCAGUUUUGGAAAGAUGCUGCCAAGUAAGAGGGGUGCUGAUGAUGUUAUAAGAUUCUCAGCUGACAAUAAAAGAACUUGCUGUGGAGAAGAGGCAACUGAUUUUUUAGGUCCGCAGAUUUCUGGAGGGAUCUGGGUGUGGAAGUUGCAUCAAAGGUGUCUAGAAGUGUUGUCUCAAUUGCUUUGUCCGAUGGGCAAAAUGUGCUAUAUGCAUCCUCUGGCGUAGUUAUAGAAUGCCAGUCUUCCUUCACAAAGUUUGUGACUUCAGCAAGUUUGGUUAGAGCUUUACAUGAUUCUGAAACAAAUGGCCAUAAGAUUGUAGUACAGCAUGAAGAAGAGGUGGCCAUAGGGUUUCUGGAAGAAUAUGAUUUGGAUUAUGAAAUUGCUUUUGUCAAAGUCACAGAUGUCCUUGAUGGCGAUCAUCUGGUGCAAUUUGACCCCCAUAGUCGAAAGGUAGUGGCAGUAGGGCGUGACAUCUCUGACAGAUUAUUGACCACAAGUGGGACAUGUACUGAUUCACGUGGAUCUCAAUAUAGUCGAUAUGUUAUGUUCUCUACAUGUAAAUUAUCUGAGGUUAUGCAGGGCGGUGCACUUUUUGAUUUUUAUGGGAACUUUUUUGGCAUCAACCUCUUCUGGGAUAUGGAAAGACCAAUUUUCUUGCCAAGGAGUAUAAUUCUCGAACGCGUGGUGCAUUUUCGUACAUCCUUGAAAAAGAGUGUAUUUCUAAACCUGGUGAAGCCAGUCAGGAUAAAAAAAGAUGAAGAAGACGAUAGGUGUGAAACUUCUCCCCCGUCCUGAAGGUAGCAUUAAGAUUUUUGGAGACGUAUAUCCUAAUGGUGUCUGGAGUGAACUCGAGCAUGGAGUUGUUUCUCACAUAUUAAGAAAUCUUGUUGCACUUGCUUCGUUCAAAGAUACAGAUUGUGGUGUUGCUUCCAAACAGGGAACGCCGUGAAGGGAAAUUGGAACAUUAUAGUUUACAUUACAAUGUUGCUCUAGUCAGCGUCAAGAAUUAUACUGUUGAUUGUCCUGUGGAUCUGAACCAUGAGAAGAUAGAUUGGUCUACCAAGUUAGUAGCCGUGGGCCGUUGCUUUGAAUCAGCUUUAGCUAUGGCUGCAAGUGGAAAACGUACCAGGUGGUCAGGCAAACUGGAUUGCAAAGAUCUUCAUUACACAUGUACAAUCACUAAGGCUGGGAUUGGAGGGCCCCUUGUUGCUGUCAACGGCAAAUUUGUGGGCAUGAACUACUAUGAUAGGAACAUGGGAACUCCGUCCCUGUGGUUUGAUCUUCUCCGUGGAAUUCUGAACUAUUUUAAGACAGAACAAACAAAUUAUAUGAAGAUACACCAUGAUUCAUCAGUAUUAAGUUGUGAGGUGGGCUGUAUUGUUAAAGAUGUUGAGCAACAACCACCAAACUGCUGGAUGGUGGCUAGACGAAGUAAAGACAAUCAUCGAGGAUCAAGAUGAAGAUGCAUCUAAAAAUGAACGUGCAGCCAUAGCCAAACCCAAUAGAUAUUGGUACCGUAACGGAAAUCUUUCCGUGUACAAGUAGUCCUACGGUCAUGGGGCUUUUACCGUAUACAAGUAGUCUUUUUUUCUACUCUGCUGAACCAGAUGUAAGCUUGUUUAAUAUUUGAACCCUUGUUAUAUGCAAGUCGAGAACUGUACUGCUGAAUCUUGUUAUAUGCAAGUCGAGAACUGUACUGCUGAAUCGUAUGAGGCUAUGAGCCCAAACAAUAUGCUGUGACGUUAGUCUC